GCUCCGCUCCGCCCCGCUCCUUGCCGGCCUCUUCCUGGGAAGAGGAAGGUGUGGGAGUCAUAGGGAGGGACGCGCGAUGGCAGCGUCAGUGGUAGGAUCGGCUACUUCCUCCUCCGCUCCUGACACCGUGCGCUGGUUUCCUUUGAGAAGCACCCAGAAGCCAGAGCCCAUUGUCACAUCUGUGGGGUUCCACAGGACGCACAGACGUGGGUCAAGUGCGUGUGAAACGAGCCUGCGUGCUUUGCUGAAAGACUGUUGAAAUCCAUGGAGGUGAUUCUCCAGCAGUUCUGUGUCGGCUGCACGUGGCUGCAUUGCUUCCCAGGGCCUGGGAGCAGGCGACAGCACUCUGAUCAGAGCGAUGGUGUCCCACUCCGAAAUGAAUCUGCUGGAUAUCAGAAGAGGAUUCCUGACCAUGUAUGGGAAGUCUCUCUACUCCUUCAUGAAGAUAAAGAAGCACGGUUCAAAAACAAUCCUAAAAGCAGCUAAACUAAAAGCAAUACACCGAACAAACGAUGUGUUCUUUGGAGUACAAACAAUGGUCCAUAUUAACCAACCCCAACAACUCCAGUUCUUACGAUUCCUCAGUGACACAGUUGACAAAGUGUGUCUUGUGGGUGAGAGUCCAAACCACUGGUGAAGGCGCUGUGAUCAUGUUACAGCAGAUGGUGAGACGGGUGGCCAGACCCCCAAACUCACAUGAGCACCCCCUGGACACCGCAAGACUCCUCUGGGAACAUCCCCAAACCCUUCUGGAUGAGUCUAGGACCACAGAGACCCACAUGAGGACUCCCUGGACCCUACCAGACUCUACUGGGACAUCUCCAGAUCAGCCCGGGGACUCCUCAGAGCUCCUGGGCCCACAGUGGGAUCUUCCAGAUCCUUCCAGGGUGCCAUGGGACCAGCCUGGGGACUCCCUUGAACUGGGCUGGGGGUUGCCUUGGCAGCAGGAUAGGCUUCGGUGUGGAAGAAUCUUCCCAGUGCUCACCUCAGAGCUCAGGCUGAAGGCAGCAGUGCAUGGGAAGAAGGGGCCUCUAGCGCAUCCAUGGCACUGGGGAAUCUGAGGGGAUUGGAAAGCAAACGGAGAAGCAACAGAUGCUCUGCAGCACGGGGAGGGCUUAAGAGCCUGACUUUGGGCAGCGGUGCUCUGCAAACUGUUGGGAAGCAGCAGGAAAUUCUGCCAGUGGUUCCCUGGGAAGUUCCUUUGGAAGCUCUGGCCAUGUUCCUUGGCCUUCCUCCCAUUGAAUGCCUUUCUCUUCCAGAUGGCGUCAGCAGGACCUGUUGUGCAUGAGCUUCCGUCUCUGGGGUAAGAACACUUCCUUGCCCUGCACCCCUGGCUCUGUAGUGUGGCCUCAGCUGCCUGCACGCUCUUUGCAUGCCUCCUUCCUCCCAUCUGUAUGGUGGAAGGCAGCCCUUGGCAAAGCGAAGGAACAAAAGGGGUUGGGGGAUAAGGAUAACUUUGGUUGCAAGUGCAAAAUUUGGUCUUGUCCUCUGAUAUUUUGGGGAGAAAACCUGUGGUAGUUGUAAGAAAACGGGUAUUUCUGGGAGAAAAUAUCCUAUUUUUGGAAGAAAAGGUCAGCUUUGCAACUGAAAUGUGGUAUUUCUGUGAGAAAAUGACCUACUUGUUGGAGAAAAGGGGGAAAUUCUGGGAAGGAAUGUCUUCUAUUUGAGAGCAACUGUCUUCUUUUUGGAGUGCAAACCGGUCCUUUGGGGAGAAAAUAGGGUCUAUAUGGGAGAAAAUGUCCUCUUCAGGAGUGUAGAGUAGUACUUUUGAGAGAAAAUGGAAAGUAUUUCUCAGAAAACGGCAAUUUCUGGGAGAAGACAGCAUGCUUUGUUGGAAAAUGACAUCUAUUUGUGAGAAAGCUGGGAUUCUGGGGAGAAAAUGCCGCAUUUUAAAAAAUAAGCUGGUAUUUCCGGGGGAAUAUGUCCCAUCUUUGUUAGAAAACUGGAAUAUCUGUGAUCAGAUGUCAUUUUGAUGGGAGUAAACAUGAUAUUGAGGAGUGUAAAGUAGUGCUCUUGGGAUGAAAUGUGAGGAAUUUCUAAGGGUACUGGUAUUCCUGGGAGAAAAUGUCUUGUUUCUGAGAGAAAAUGUCGUCGUAUUUUGGGGGGAGAAACUGGUAUUUCUGUGAUAAAAUGCCCUAUUUCUGGGAAUAAAUGUCCUAUUGAGGAGUGUGAAGUCAUAUUUUUGGUAGAAAAUGGGAGGCGUUUCUAAGAGAACUGGUAUUUCUGGGAGAAAAUAUCUUAUCUUGGGGGGGAAAGUUCCUAUGUCUGUGAGAGAACUGUGUUUCCGGGAGAAACUGUCUUCUUUAGGCAGAAAAGAUCACAUAGUUGCGAGAAAGCUGGUAUUUCUGGGAGGAAUUUCUGGGAGGAAAUAUCAUAUUUUUGUUGGAAAAUGUCACAUUUGCUACUGCCAUGUAGUAUUUUGUGGAUGAAACAUGCAGUAUACCUAAGAAAACCUGUAUUUCUGGUAGAAAACGUCAUCCCUUUGGGGAGAAGACUGGUAUUUCAGGGAGAAAAUAUCCUUGUUUGGGGAGAAAGUGUCCUAUUUUUGAUGGAAAAGUAGUCCUUGUGGGAGCAAAUGCCAUGUAUUUGGGUGAAGGGUGGGAUUUUGGGAGGAAAUACCGUAUGUUUGGAAGAAAGUGUCCUCUUUCAGAUUGAGAUGUGAUACUUGUGGUACUGUCCUACGUUUGGGCAAAAACUGGUAUUUCUGGGAGAUAAUGUCAUUUCAUUGGAGCAAACCAUUAUUUUGGGGAGAGAAUGUCUUAUUUUUGGAAGAA